GACGAACGCUGGCGGCGUGCUUAACACAUGCAAGUCGAACGGUGAAGCGCCUUCCUUUUUGGUGGGUGUGGAUGAGUGGCGAACGGGUGAGUAACACGUGAGUAACCUGCCCCCUUCUUCUGGAUAACCGCAUGAAAGUGUGGCUAAUGCGGGAUAUUCUGGGUCUGUCGCAUGAUGGGUCUGGGAAAGAUAUUGUUUCGGUGGGGGAUGGGCUCGCGGCCUAUCAGCUUGUUGGUGGGGUGAUGGCCUACCAAGGCGGUGACGGGUAGCCGGCCUGAGAGGGUGGACGGUCACACUGGGACUGAGACACGGCCCAGACUCCUACGGGAGGCAGCAGUGGGGAAUAUUGCACAAUGGGCGCAAGCCUGAUGCAGCGACGCCGCGUGAGGGAUGGAGGCCUUCGGGUUGUGAACCUCUUUCGCCAGUGAAGCAGGCCUGCCUCGUUUGUGGGUGGGUUGACGGUAGCUGGAUAAGAAGCGCCGGCUAACUACGUG
rnacentral:rRNA from 1 species